CCCAAUAGAUGGAAGAAGCUCGUGCUGAACUACAUGACCUGAUGGAGUAAAAACUAACAAAUGCUCCAAGGAAUUGGCCCUUGAGUUAGUGCGCUGAGUGCUUUGAGAUAUGGAAUUAUGGAAAAUGGCAGCAACUGCACCAGAUGGCACAAAAACCUUUCCUGCGGCCGAGCCAGUGGCAUGGCAUUGCCAACUGUAUUAAGCCACCCAAAACUACUAUAUUUUAUUCUGCUCACCACAGAAAGUGAGACAGGUGAUGGGGGUGGAGAAGAAUGCUGAUUGAUCAUGCAAGAUGAAGUGGACCACCAAGGUAGAGACAAAAUUGGAUACAGGGAGGGCUCCUCACCCAUAGAAUUAAGAGAUUGAAACCCAGAC
rnacentral:misc_RNA from 1 species